rfam:Pseudallescheria apiosperma strain IHEM 14462 SEQ_SAPIO_0154, whole genome shotgun sequence.
GGCAAAGUGCCAGAGUGGUUAAUGGGUCAGCCUCGAAAGCUGAUGGCUUCGGCCGCACAGGUUCGAAUCCUGUCUUUGUCG